ensembl:lincRNA
AUGAGCGGGUUCUCUCUGGCCAGACCCUUGCUCAGCAAAGCAGAGGCCCUGCUGCCCACAAGGCGGCCCGAAUCCACCUUUUCCUCUGUUCUCGCGCACGUGAUGAGCGGCGGAGGGCCAGGUCCUGUGGCUGGGGGUGGGCUGUGCCCCUGGCUCCGUCCGGAGGCGUAGGCAAGCGGACAUCUGGCAUACGAAUAUAGGGGUUCCCAUUCAAUGGACAAAGGCCACAGGACACUUUUGAGAGGUAAUCCCUAGAUGCAUUUGCUCACCAAGCAUUACCUGGAAACGGAACCACAUGGAAUGGCCAGAAAACAGGUAGUGCCUUUUUUUUUUUUUCUUCAAAUGUAUUGGGGUCGGGGGGAUGGCACUCAUUAAACAUUAUUUGGAAGUGUUCCUGAAGGAGGGCACGUGAUAGGAUGAGCAACUGAUGAACUGCUGAACACUGCAUCUAAAACUAAUCAUGUACUAUGUGUGGGCUAAUUGAAUUUAAAUUAAAAAGAAAAAAAAAUAAAGGGGCGCCUGGGUGGCUCAGUGGGUUAAACCUCUGCCUUCGGCUCAGGUCAUGAUCCCAGGGUGUUGGGAUCGAGCCCCGCAUGGAACUCUCUGCUCAGUGGGGAGCCUGUCCCCCCCACUUGUGAUCUCUCUCUGUCAAAUAAAUAAAAUAAAAUAAAAUAAAAUAAAAUAAAAAAGUGUUCCCGAAUUCAAGGUGGCGCUCCUGCAGAGGCAUUUGGCCCACCAACAGGACACGGCAGUGCCCCCAAAACUGUGCUGGUAGCUGGCAUUGUGGUUACCUUCUUGGUAUCCAUCCACACCUCCCCCAAUGAGUGGCAGCGUCUUACAGCUGUUUUGGCUUGGCCAGAGCUCACGGUUCACAAAUCUGGCUACACUCUGGAGUCACCUGCAUGAGGAAGAAGCCGAGGGAGUUUGGAGUAGACCCCUGGAGGAGAGCCCAGAGAGAUGCACCAUAAGCAACAAAUGCCGAUAGCCACCGGAAGCUGGAAGAGGGAAGAUUUUCGGUCAGAACCGCCACAGAGAAAACCACCCUGCCUGCCACCUUCAUUUUGGACGUCUUAAGAGAAUAAAGUUCUGUCAUGUUAAGCAACGAAUGAGAAUUCCAUCGUCUCCACAGCCUCACCAACACCUAGUAAUGUCAGGUUUUUUAAAAAAUACAAGUCUAGACCCGAGAUCUAGCCUGUAGUAAGGUCCAUUAAAAAAAAAAAAUUAGCCAUUCUAAUGGGGGUGUGCUAGUGUCUCGUUUGGUUAACUUGCAUGUCUUCUCUGGCUAGUGUUGUUGAACACCUUUGCAUCUAUUUAUUUCUUCCGUGAGAGAUACCUGCAAAUCUUUUGCCCAUUUUUUUUUUUUUUUAAGUAAGCACCAUGCACAGUGUGGAACCGGACAUGGGGCUUGAACUCACCACCCAUGAAACAAGACCUGAACUGAGAUUGAGUCGGACGUUUAACCAACUGAGCCUUUCAGGCGCCCCUCUUUGGCUCAAUUUUCAUUGAAUUGUCUUUUUAUUAUCGAUAAUUCAUAUGCCUUUAAUAUGCACUAUCACAGACAAUAACUUCUACAAACACAGCUUUACAUAAUUGAACAACUAUAUGACAAACUAAAGAAUAAAAUCAACGUCUUUCAGCUUAUACUUUGUAUUAUAUUAUACUGAAUAGACUUUUAAUGAACUCUACUUUAUGUCUCUUUAUCAGGUAUUAACAUUUGGAACAAUGGGGCUGAGUCAGAACUUCGUAUCAGGUGCAACAUCAAGUCUAUUCAUUUACGUUGUUUUUGUUGGAGCACAGAGGGUGUUGUAGCAAAGGGAAGGAGAACACAAAUUGCAUGUUUUGCAAUAUUUGGGUAUCUUUGCAAUGGCUGCUCCAAAAAUCAUUAAUUAUUUCAUCUUGGAGAGCUCACCUUCCAGUUUUUUCAGGAUCUGGAGGCUGAAAUAAUUUAUCCUCACUCAGAACGGUUCAACUUUUUGUUGAAAAGAUCGGCUUUUCGUUAAAACUGCCAUCUCUCAGCUACAACUACGAGAAAAGCUGAGUGGGACAAACGUGCUAACACAGAACGAGCAUUGAAUCCUCGCACACCUGUGCGGAGACCAUUGGCUUCCUAACUGGCGGCUACUGAUUGAAGGGAGCAUGCGCAGUGAAUCAGUGAGCGUGUGCGUCAGGUGACCGGACUUUCUGGUCCCCCCAGGUGUGUUGCGCCAUUUUAAAAGGUAGAUUACCCGAAUUUAAUAAUAACUGCCAUAUAAAUAUAUUUAUAUUGGUCUUAUGUAUGUGUUUUAAAUACAUUUUAGAAGACAUA